CCACCACCACUGCUAGUAGAAUAGCCAAGAAGGCGCUUCGAUCGCCAAGAGUUUGAAGCCUUGGCAUGUAUGUACGCAUACACUGGCACAAGGAUUCUUGAAGGCAGAAGAAGCUCUGAAGGCUAAUCGCAUGAAGAUCUGUAUGGCCGAAAGCGAAGACUUGUACACAGAGGCCAGUCAAUUAUUCACCGAGAGACAAUGCCACGUGAAGAAAGCAAAGAUUCCUAAAGAUUGAAGCUUGUCAGCACUCUCUCUCGCACUUUUCUAUAUUAUUAGAAGGACACGCUUGUACCCUAGUCAGAUUUUUCUAUAUUAUUAAAGGACACGCAUGUACUCUAGUAGGACACGCGUGCAUACUACCGUGUAUAAAAUAAGUGAAGGAAGACUCCUGAAGGCCUCCCGGCAGCCACCCCUCGUGGCAAUAAAAGGAGACGCUAGGCUCAAGAACACAACACAAGACGGGAGAGCACGAAGCACUCAGAGCAUCAAGACUCUCCAUUAGAGCACCGUUUCCUUCGUAGUUUAGCCACCACCACUGUUAGUAGAAUAGCCAAGAAGGCGCUUCGAUCGCCAAGAGUUUGAAGGUAAUUUCCUAGUUGUGUGUAAUUCCUUCGGGGCCUCCCGAAAGGGAAAACCAUAUGUAAAUUAUGUUAUGGAAAUGA